GACGAACGCUGGCGGCGUGCUUAACACAUGCAAGUCGAACGGAAAGGCCCUGCUUUUGUGGGGUGCUCGAGUGGCGAACGGGUGAGUAACACGUGAGUAACCUGCCCUUGAUUUUGGGAUAACUUCAGGAAACUGGGGCUAAUCCCGGAUAGGAGCCCCCGUUGCAUGGUGGGGGUUGGAAAGUUUCGGCGGUUGGGGAUGGACUCGCGGCUUAUCAGCUUGUUGGUGGGGUAGUGGCUUACCAAGGCUUUGACGGGUAGCCGGCCUGAGAGGGUGACCGGCCACAUUGGGACUGAGAUACGGCGCAGACUCCUACGGGAGGCAGCAGUGGGGAAUAUUGCACAAUGGGCGGAAGCCUGAUGCAGCAACGCCGCGUGCGGGAUGACGGCCUUCGGGUUGUAAACCGCUUUCGCCUGUGACGAAGCGUGAGUGACGGUAAUGGGUAAAGAAGCACCGGCUAACUACGUG
rnacentral:rRNA from 1 species